GCCAGUUGCAGCAGCUGUUUUGGGGGGCCGAGGGGUGUUAUGAUGAGUUUCUAAGAGUGUCAUAGGCAGUACAAAUGAAGCAGCAGCAAUUGAUUAUACAUCACUGACAGCAUAAAACAGAACAAACAGACAGGUCCUUCCAUGAAAAGCCCAUGCCAGCAUCAAGCAGAAGUAGCAAGUUGGAGGAUGAAUUCCACAGAAGCAACACCAAAGCUGGAAAUAUAUCACAGCACCAACUAAAAGCUACUACACAGGAGUAUCUUCUAUUGUCCAGGGAAGUUUUUUUUCCUGAUGUAAUGGAGUCCACUUCCCCCAUCUGGUUAUGUGUCUGCUGCUUCAGUUUUCCCAACUCAGUUCCCACAGAAUGCACGCUGAAGACUCAUGUGGUUCAAGUACAUUCCAUUCUUGGGGUCUGACUUUUUAACAAAACAAUUUUACUCAACUGAACAUAAAUCUUCCCAACAGACUUUCUUGUUCCUUCCCAUCCCCAGGACUGCUGCUUGGCCUUUCCUAAAGCUUCUUUUUCCAGCUGAGGCUUCUAUUCCCACUCCCUGCCUUUAUCCCCUGCCAUGCCUUCUGGUGCAGAAAGCCCCUUUCCAGGUACUUUCCUUGACCUUGUGUCUCCCACAUCUGUGUAGGGCGGCUCUCUCUUAAAGGAAAGACCACCUUCAGAUUGUCAUCACGUGAUAUUUGGUCACCUGACCCAACUGCCAGCCACAGCCAUGAAACAGUGUACUUGGACACAUGCAUGCGUUCAAGGAACAUCAGCAUCCUAUUACUC